GCUCAGAGUAUAAGCCAAUGGAGCUUGGAAGGCUUCCGCAGUCUCGGCAUCAUGCGUGGUGUUCGUAAGAUCAGAAGCACGGUUCGUGAGGCGGAGCAUUGAGUUUGCCGCUUAGCUGUCGUGCGGGGUUCGGCCUUGGGGGUUUUAGGCUUCGGCCGAACAAUUCCCGGCCGUUCCUUUUGAAUGGACGUUCAGAGCUUCUGUGUCUAAUGCGGUUAUGCCCACCACGGCACGUUGUGAGGUCACCCACAGGCUCAAACUGCCGAUCGCGAAUCCAGGACGAUGGCAACGAUGCGUUGUUUUACUCGACGGCGAGUUAUCACGCGUGUCUAGUCCUGGGUCGGGCGGCGACCGAGAUAAACCUGGUAUGAUCCUCGUGCGACGAGCCGCUUUCUGGCCAGACCGACGCCCAGGCGCUUCCACUGUGCCGGAAGUGUCAAUCCCAGGCGGUGUGAACCCAGCUGCAUUCUGCAAGGUCUCUCAGCCGGGCGUUGGUCUGAGUGGUGUUAAGUCCAGCACCGUCGGUCACGUCUCGAAACACGGGCCAAGGAGUAUAGCAUGUGUGCAAGUCUAAGGGUCUCACAAAACCCGAAGGCGAAGUGAAAGCAAGACUGUGGCGGGGGAGCUACGGCGAACCUGCCGGCCUUGUGGCGCGAUCUCGCGUUGCCUGGCUUAUAGCAGAGCUGAUCCUGUUUUCUCGGUUGAUUCUUGGUGCAGGCGCAAGCUCCGGGCUCACGUACAACACUGGUCACGCCUUCGUG
rnacentral:rRNA from 1 species